GUAGAUCACGACGGUUUGUAGUUUAAUUGGCAAAACAUAGUUCUCAUGAAGCUA
rnacentral:tRNA from 1 species